rnacentral:rRNA from 1 species
GGAUGAGUGGCGAACGGGUGAGUAACACGUGAGUAACCUGCCCCUGACUUCGGGAUAAGCCCGGGAAACUGGGUCUAAUACCGGAUACGACCGCCGGACGCAUGUCUGGUGGUGGAAAGUUUUUUCGGUUGGGGAUGGGCUCGCGGCCUAUCAGUUUGUUGGUGAGGUAAUGGCUCACCAAGACGACGACGGGUAGCCGGCCUGAGAGGGCGACCGGCCACACUGGGACUGAGACACGGCCCAGACUCCUACGGGAGGCAGCAGUGGGGAAUAUUGCACAAUGGGGGAAACCCUGAUGCAGCGACGCAGCGUGCGGGAUGACGGCCUUCGGGUUGUAAACCGCUUUCAGCAGGGAAGAAGCGCAAGUGACGGUACCUGCAGAAGAAGUACCGGCUAACUACGUGCCAGCAGCCGCGGUAAUACGUAGGGUACGAGCGUUGUCCGGAAUUAUUGGGCGUAAAGAGCUCGUAGGUGGUUGGUCACGUCUGCUGUGGAAACGCAACGCUUAACGUUGCGCGUGCAGUGGGUACGGGCUGACUAGAGUGCAGUAGGGGAGUCUGGAAUUCCUGGUGUAGCGGUGAAAUGCGCAGAUAUCAGGAGGAACACCGGUGGCGAAGGCGGGACUCUGGGCUGUAACUGAC